CACCAGACUCCUACGGGAGGCAGCAGUGGGGGAUAUUGCACAAUGGGGGGAACCCUGAUGCAGCGACGCCGCGUGGGUGAAGGAGCGUUUCGGCGCGUAAAGCCCUAUCGGCAGGGAAGAAGGAGGACGGUACCUGACUAAGAAGCCCCGGCUAACUACGUGCCAGCAGCCGCGGGAAUACGUAGGGGGCAAGCGUUAUCCGGAUUUACUGGGUGUAAAGGGGGCGCAGACGGCAGCGCAAGCCAGGAGUGAAAGCCCGGGGCCCAACCCCGGGACUGCUCUUGGAACUGCGCGGCUGGAGUGCAGGAGGGGCAGGCGGAAUUCCUGGUGUAGCGGUGAAAUGCGUAGAUAUUAGGAGGAACACCAGUGGCGAAGGCGACUUUCUGGACUGUACCUGACGCUGAGGCGCGAAAGCGUGGGUAGCGAACGGGAUUAGAUACCCUCGUA
rnacentral:rRNA from 1 species